UGCCCUAGUAACGGCGAGUGAAGCGGCAAAAGCUCAGAUUUGAAAUCUGAUGUUGUUAAGGCAUCCGAGUUGUAAUCUGUAGAGAGGUACUUUCAAGCAUUUGAUUUAAUCUAAGUUCCUUGGAACAGGACGUCAAAGAGGGUGAGAACCCCGUCUUUGGUUAAAUCUUUUGUGAAAUAUAAGUCUUCUUCGAUGAGUCGAGUUGUUUGGGAAUGCAGCUCUAAAUGGGUGGUAAAUUCCAUCUAAAGCUAAAUAUUGGCAAGAGACCGAUAGCGCACAAGUAGAGUAAUCGAAAGAUGAAAAGAACUCUGGACAGAGAGUUAAAUAGUACGUGAAAUUGUUGAAAGGGAAGCACUUGCUACCAGACGCAUUGGUUAUUAAUCAGCCUUCAUUUAUGAUUGUGCACUUAAUAGCUAGUGGGUCAGCAUCAGUUUGGUUACUGAUAAAAAUGUGAGAGGAAUGUGGCUCUCCUUCGGGCGAGUGUUAUAGCCUCUUGCAAAUAUUAGCGACCAGACUGAGGUCUGCGCAAUGCGAGGAUGCUGACAUAAUGGUCGUAAGUGACCCGUCUUGAAACACGGACCAAGGAGUCUAACAUCUAUGCGAGUGUUUGGGUUAAAAACCCUCAUGCAAAAUGAAAGUGAAUGCAGAUGGUAAGCGCAAGCUGCCCCAUCGACCGAUCCUGAUGUCUUCGGAUGGAUUUGAGUAUGAGCAUAGAUGNUGGGACCCGAAAGAUGGUGAACUAUGCCUGAAUAGGGUGAAGCCAGAGGAAACUCUGGUGGAGGCUCGCAGCGGNNCUGACGUGCAAAUCGAUCGUCAAAUUUGGGUAUAGGGGCGAAAGACUAAUCGAACCAUCUAGUAGCUGGU
rnacentral:rRNA from 1 species